UACGUAGGGGGCGAGCGUUAUCCGGAUUUACUGGGUGUAAAGGGAGCGUAGACGGCGCAGCAAGUCUGAUGUGAAAGGCGGGGGCUUAACCCCCGGACUGCAUUGGAAACUGUUGAGCUUGAGUGCCGGAGGGGUAAGCGGAAUUCCUAGUGUAGCGGUGAAAUGCGUAGAUAUUAGGAGGAACACCAGUGGCGAAGGCGGCUUACUGGACGGUAACUGACGUUGAGGCUCGAAAGCGUGGGGAGCAAACAGG
rnacentral:rRNA from 1 species